rnacentral:rRNA from 1 species
CUUGCUUUCUUUGCUGGCGACCGGCGCACGGGUGAGUAACACGUAUCCAACCUGCCCUUUACUCGGGGAUAGCCUUUCGAAAGAAAGAUUAAUACCCGAUAGUAUAAUGAUUCCGCAUGGUUUCAUUAUUAAAGGAUUCCGGUAAAGGAUGGGGAUGCGUUCCAUUAGGUUGUUGGUGAGGUAACGGCUUACCAAGCCUUCGAUGGAUAGGGGUUCUGAGAGGAAGGUCCCCCACAUUGGAACUGAGACACGGUCCAA